rnacentral:lncRNA from 1 species
CCACUUUCUAGCCCUAUCUAUCAGGCCAAUCCCAUAUCUCAUAAAUCGAUAAUAUAACUCAAGUAAAUCAUAUAUAUCAGGUCAAUCCCAUAACUCAGGUGACUACCCAUCUCGGGCGAUGUAACUUACACAAGGCUUUGCCGGGAAAAUCACAUGUGACCCCGUGCGCACCUCACUGGUGUCAGUAAUUGCCACACGAUAUGCUCAAAGCAUGCCAAGUAAUCACAUAAUAGUCACAGUAUCCAACUACCAAAAGGGGACCCAUGGUUUACUGCCCAUAUAGAUCUUGGGGGCGCAACCCUCCCAAUUAUUCACAUUCACAUCCUGACUCUCGUCCUAUCAUGGGGGAGUUAGGGAAAGAUCUUAGCUGUCAGC